GAAAGCAUUUGGAUUUAUGGCAAGCCCAAUUCCCCUGGGCAUUUCAUAGUGCCCCAUGAACAAACUGUGGCCCCCAACCACAGCCUAGUCUAUGCCCAUAGGCUACUAGUACUGAAGUGUUUGCACAGAG
ensembl:snoRNA